rnacentral:rRNA from 1 species
AGAGUUUGAUCCUGGCUCAGAUUGAACGCUGGCGGCAUGCUUUACACAUGCAAGUCGAACGGGGUUAAGGGGCUUGCUCCUUAAUCUAGUGGCGAACGGGUGAGUAAUGCAUCGGAACGUACCCGGGAGUGGGGGAUAACGCACCGAAAGGUGUGCUAAUACCGCAUAUUCUGUGAGCAGGAAAGCAGGGGACCUUAGGGCCUUGUGCUUCCGGAGCGGCCGAUGUCGGAUUAGCUAGUUGGUGAGGUAAAGGCUCACCAAGGCGACGAUCCGUAGCGGGUCUGAGAGGAUGAUCCGCCACACUGGGACUGAGACACGGCCCAGACUCCUACGGGAGGCAGCAGUGGGGAAUUUUGGACAAUGGGCGCAAGCCUGAUCCAGCCAUGCCGCGUGUCUGAAGAAGGCCUUCGGGUUGUAAAGGACUUUUGUCAGGAAGGAAAACCUAUUGGCUAAUAUCCAGUGGGGAUGACAGUACCUGAAGAAUAAGCACCGGCUAACUACGUGCCAG